ensembl:snRNA U6 U6 spliceosomal RNA
GUGCUUGCUGUGGCACCACAUGUACUAAAUGGGAACAAUACAAAUGAAGAUUACCAUGGUCCCUGCCGAAGAAUUACACACAAAUUCGUGGAGCAUUCCAUUAUUUA